rnacentral:snRNA from 1 species
UCGGCUUCUCGCCUUAUUGGCUAAGAUCAAAGUGUAGUUUCUGUUCUUUAGAGAUUAAUUUCCUCUUAAACGUAGGCCAUUUGGUCUAGCUAAGUAAUUAAUCCGGUUUUUGAUGAGUCGGCCAGUGCUUCGUGGUUCACACGACCUGGUCCACGCGUAGGCCUUGCGCUGCAGUACAGCAAAGGAUCUGGCGCAUCUAAU